GAUGAACGCUGGCGGCGUGCCUAAUACAUGCAAGUCGAGCGAACGGACGAGAAGCUUGCUUCUCUGAUGUUAGCGGCGGACGGGUGAGUAACACGUGUAUAACCUACCUAUAAGACUGGGAUAACUUCGGGAAACCGGAGCUAAUACCGGAGAAUAUUUUGAACCGCAUGGUUCAAAAGUGAAAGACGGUCUUGCUGUCACUUAUAGAUGGAUCCGCGCUGCAUUAGCUAGUUGGUAAGGUAACGGCUUACCAAGGCAACGAUGCAUAGCCGAACUGAGAGGGUGAUCGGCCGCCCUGGAACGGAGCCACGGUCCAGACUCCUACGGGAGGGAGCAGUAGGGAAUCUUCCGCAAUGGGCGAAAGCCUGACGGAGCAACGCCGCGUGAGUGAUGAAGGUCUUCGGAUCGUAAAACUCUGUUAUGAGGGAAGAACAUAUGUGUAAGUAACUGUGCACAUCUUGACGGUACCUAAUCAGAAAGCCACGGCUAACUACGUG
rnacentral:rRNA from 1 species